rnacentral:misc_RNA from 1 species
AAAGUCGUAACAAGGUUUCCGUAGGUGAACCUGCGGAAGGAUCAUCAAUAAUCCAAUCUUGACUAGCGCAAUUAAAAACUGUGCUAGUCUAACCUUCUUGUGCACCGUUUAAUGUUUAUUGAUUGGGAGUAAAACUGAGAUGUUGAUUUUAUAUCAGCAUAUCGAUUCCCAAUUGAUUAAUCUUUAUAACAAACUAUUUUAUAUUUGAAGUUGUUUAUUUUACAGGUAACUGUACUAAUAUCAAUACAACUUACAGCGAUGGAUCUCUAGGCUCUG